rnacentral:rRNA from 1 species
UACGUAGGGGGGCAAGCGUUGUCCGGAAUCAUUGGGCGUAAAGCGCGUGUAGGCGGCCCGAUAAGUCCGCUGUGAAAGUCCAGGGCUCAACCCUGGGAUGCCGGUGGAUACUGUCGGGCUCGAGUCCGGAAGAGGCGAGUGGAAUUCCUGGUGUAGCGGUGAAAUGCGCAGAUAUCAGGAGGAACACCAAUGGUGAAGGCAGCUCGCUGGGACGUGACUGACGCUGAGACGCGAAAGCGUGGGGAGCAAACAGG